UAAUCUACUUUCCCGAAAAGUAGAUAAUCUACGUUUUGGGAAAGUACAUAGCCAACUUUCCCAGAAAGUACAUUGCCUUUUUCGUCCUAACCAAGGUCUUCGACUCCGAUAACAGGGAAACUCUCUGGUGGACCCUCAGCCCACCAAAAUUCAAUGCCAUUGUGAGGCAACUUCACCAUGGCAUAAACGGCAGUGUCCUACACAAUGGUAUCCAGUCUGAGUUCCUCCCUAUUCAAACGGGGAUAAAAGAAGGAUUUGUACUGGCACCAACUCUCUUUUUCAUUUUCUUGGCUGCCUUCCUUACUCGGUGUCAAUACAUUUGAGUUAAUAUAUCUCAAGAACACCACUCUCCUCAAACCUUGCCACCACCUCACAAGUAUGCAUGUUUCUCGGUGCAACCACACACACCUACCGAAAGGCGAAUUUUAAUUUCUUUCAAUACUUAUUACAUCAUAUUUCCAGCAGCUUUUUGUAAAUACAGCUUUUAUUUUAAUAAUUUCAUUUGUCUUCUUUGUUAAUUUUUUAUCAUGCUUAAGUACUAGAACUUGUAUAUACUAUACUGGCAUUUCAUUUUGGGUAAACCUAUGCUAAUGUAGAAAAUAGCUGUAAAACUGUGGUGGUUAUUUGAGGGUUUGACAUGCUAGAGGUACAGGCACUCAAAAUAUUAUCUUGACAAAGUUGUGUUAGAUGGCAUGAUGCAACGGACAAAGGAUUUUGACAAUCCUACCGAGUUGCAGAUAGUUUUUUUGAGCAACUGUACCUUAGGCCAGUUAUGAAUUAAAACCAGGCAAAUAUUCACAUUGUUAGGCCUCGGGGCCAUGCCUUUGCCGAUACAUAGAACCUGUACAGUUAUUAAUCAAGAGUAAGACAUUAGUGAUACGAGUUUUAAAUUUUAGAAAACAAUGAAUACUGUAUAUACUAUGUAAUUCAGUCUGCUGUCAUAAGUUGACCCCAAGAAGUUCCCCUAAGCCUCAUUUAUGUUUUUUCUUUCUUAUAUGAUGUUAUACAAUACUAAUAAUUUUCAAUUAUUUAAAAAUGAAAUAGUGGGCACAUUUAAUAUUAAUGUACAUACUUAUUUAUGAAAUGGUUAUGGGAUCAAAUUUAUAUGGAGUACUGCACUGUAUUUGCAAUAAGCAAAUAACAUUCAUGUAUUCAUUCAUUGCCUACCCUUCCCCCACUCAGUAUUUAUCAGCGUGAAGGAACCGUAGUAUGCAGGAAGGAGUGUCCAUUGAAUGACCGUGAGUGCCUUAGCAACAACACUCACACAGUCUUGUACUCCUUUUAUUCUCUCCCGACCAUCUCCUACGUCCCUAAACCCAUGCCACUGACUACUCUACGUUUUGUGAGUGGUAGGACAGGACACACCAUGAGAACAAACUACUGGAUUCUAAGCGGGAAUAACAAGAACUGCUUCGAUGUAAGGAGAAUGAAUAAAUUUGGAUGGUUACGUCUUGUGAAGCCAGUGUUGGGACCAGACCGGUUCCUCUUACUCUUACAAAUGGACGCACUAGGAUCUCAAGACACAGUCAUCACCAGGCAUCUUGCUUAUGUUGACAUAGACGUGUCUAUUUAUACAUUUUAAUAAAAAUAACUAAUCAUGUAAAGGACAGUUCCAAGGAAGAUUCUGCAUUAAUGGUAAAAGGUAUCUUACUACUUUUUCAUACAUAUAUUAUUCAACUUGCCAACAACCAUCAGUUGCCCUAAAAUUUCUUCAACUUAUUCACCCCCCACACAUCACAGCUAUUAAAUGGUAAUGUAAACUGUGCAUUGAUCUUGCCAAAUUAUAUUUUGUUCUGUUUCAGGUACUGCCAACACUUAACACUAACUAUCACCAUUUAACCCUGAAAGACAGUACAACAAACCUCUUAAAUGCAUCAUGAUGAAAUUUUUUACAAUUUACUUCAUCUGGCUCAUGAUACAAACAUCCACAAAAUUCAGAGAUGUCCUAGCUAAACUUACCCUUAACCUAGUUACCCCUAAAACUAAAAAAAAAAUCAUCUCCCCAGUUCAUGGUGCCUAUCCAUUAUCACGCUUAACAGUGUAUGGUUUUGUAUAUAGUAUCAAUGUCAAGAGCUGACCAAGAGAUAGAAUACUCAUAAGAGAUGAGAGCCUUGUCAAAAUAAUUGGCCAACCUCAACUUCUGGAAAAAGCUGAGAGGCAGAAAUUGAAAAUUAUAUACAGUAUUGUCCAAAGUUCAUGAACACAAAUCUUCAGUAGCUAUCAACAAACAGAUGCGACUCGUAGGAUGAACAAACAGACUAAUAGGCAAUUACAUAUAUUGCUUAUGGUUAUAUUUUUGUUCUAUACGUAAUUCAAUCUUAAAAGAGUUAACAAAAGAGCUUUAGAAUUUUCACUAUAAAUGUCUAGCAUAUUUUGGAAUACAUGACAAUAAAACAACAAUGGUACAAUGUGUAAACUUCUUAAUAUCCUUUAUUACACGGCAAAUCAAGAUAUCAUAAAAACAGCAAAGCACCAGUAAAAUUUUGCGUAUUGCCAAUGCCAGGACAAAAAGUCUUGUGCAAACUGCUUAGUUCUGUAUAAUGAGAAAUGUGUAAACCCCAUUAAAAUUAGUACUAAAACUGAAUUUCAAUUUCAAAAUAUUAGUGCUUUUGCAUAUGAUGACUUCUUAAAAAUUAAAUAAAGAUCUAUUCCUAUGAUUUACAAGUUAAAAGAUACAAUUUCGAUUAUAUUAUUAAGGGGUUGGUUACAUCUAUGCUAUUCAAAUAUAUUGGAAUUUAAAUUGUAAUGGUUUCCAUUCUGCAAAUACUUUAAAAGUUUUAGCUCUUCUAACAAGUGCAUUAGAGGAGAUUGCAGAAUUACCAAAUCCUUAACUGGAUAAUAUGAUGCAACAGCAAUUUUCACGGUGCUUAGGCCUUAUUCACUAGCAGGCAGAAGCACAUGUCAUGGAACAAUCAAGGAAACUAGACUUAACAUAUCAGCAGUAAUAAAAAAAAAAAAAGAAAAAAAAGGAAAAAUACUACAUGAGCAAUACAGAGAUAUCCUAAGACUGAUUUGGGUAUAAAAUCAUAAGUUGGUCUAGUUCAUCAAAGUACAAAAGUACCACCAAAUUAUAAGCACUACUGGUACAAUAACUAACUUCAUUUUUUGUCUUCUAAAAUUUACACUAGCUUUAAUAUUUCUUGAUCUAGCAAAAAAUUUCACCCUUAUUCACAAUACAUAAUACAAACUAUACAAAAAGUUUCCUCCUCUUGUCCCAACCACACUCCUCCCCUUGGAAACAAGAAUUUAAUAAAAGAACCAUGUCAAAUGAUGCAUCACACAAAUCCAUUCAACAGAGAGCUUCGAAAAAUCACAAAUUCCAUUAUAUGAACUGGGAAGAAUGUGGUUGGGGGGGCUUGCUAAUCACUUUUCACUUUUGCGGCGAUACGCACUUGGGUUCCUAUUGGCAGACUGCUGACGAGUCACUGUGAGGCUAUGCUGCCUCACUAUUAUAUUUUUACACCAACAUCACUCUAAAUUAAGUCUUGCCGCAUUUACUGAAAUUUUUUUUUUAAUUUUGUGAUAUCUCCACUUAAGACUAAUCUGUGUUUGUCUAUGCUGGGUAACACACAAAAUU